UGGGGAAUAUUGCACAAUGGGCGCAAGCCUGAUGCAGCCAUGCCGCGUGUAUGAAGAAGGCCUUCGGGUUGUAAAGUACUUUCAGCGGGGAGGAAGGUGUUGUGGUUAAUAACCUCAGCAAUUGACGUUACCCGCAGAAGAAGCACCGGCUAACUCCGUGCCAGCAGCCGCGGUAAUACGGAGGGUGCAAGCGUUAAUCGGAAUUACUGGGCGUAAAGCGCACGCAGGCGGUCUGUCAAGUCGGAUGUGAAAUCCCCGGGCUCAACCUGGGAACUGCAUCCGAAACUGGCAGGCUUGAGUCUUGUAGAGGGGGGUAGAAUUCCAGGUGUAGCGGUGAAAUGCGUAGAGAUCUGGAGGAAUACCGGUGGCGAAGGCGGCCCCCUGGACAAAGACUGACGCUCAGGUGCGAAAGCGCGGGGAGCAAACA
rnacentral:rRNA from 1 species